GGCCUGGUUGGGCGGUCUGCCUUCAAUGGUACGCACUGCUCGGACUGGGUCUUGAUCUUCUGGCGAGCCGGCAUGCGCUUCACUGCCGUGUGUCGGGGAGCCAGGACUUUUACUUUGAAAAAAUUAGAGUGUUUAAAGCAGGCCUACGCCUGAAUAGAUUAGCAUGGAAUAAUGGAAUAGGACCGCGGUUCUAUUUUGUUGGUUUCUAGAACCGAGGUA
rnacentral:rRNA from 1 species